rnacentral:rRNA from 1 species
GAGUUUGAUUCUGGCUCAGGAUGAACGCUAGCUACAGGCUUAACACAUGCAAGUCGAGGGGCAUCAUGGUAUUAGCUUGCUAAUACUGAUGGCGACCGGCGCACGGGUGAGUAACACGUAUCCAACCUGGCUUUCACUCAGGGAUAGCCCAUCGAAAGAUGGAUUAAUACUUGAUGGUAUAUACAUUUCGCAUGUUUUGUAUAUUAAAGAUUUAUCGGUGAUAGAUGGGGAUGCGUACCAUUAGUUUGUUGGGGGGGUAACGGCCCACCAAGACUUCGAUGGUUAGGGGUUCUGAGAGGAAGGUCCCCCACAUUGGAACUGAGACACGGUCCAAACUCCUACGGGAGCCAGCAGUGAGGAAUAUUGGUCAAUGGACGUAAGUCUGAACCAGCCAAGUAGCGUGAAGGAUGACUGCCCUCUGGGUUGUAAACUUCUUUUAUAUGUGAAUAAAUUUUCCUACGUGUAGGUUUUUG